GAAUCAAACACACUGAAGAUACUGAAGAACAAACAGAGUUGACUGAAGAAAAUGAGCAGAAUGAAGAAUUGAGUGAAGUUGAGG